UUAAACUACAUCCAUCUGUGUCCGGGAUAAUAAUUGGACUUUUAGUACCCGGACUGGCCACCAGGCGGCGCCAUUUUACUUU